GCCAUUAGGAGGAUCCACCAUCAUCGCCAUUUUCAACUGAGGAAAGGGAAGAUACAGUUAGCAUUCUAGAAGAGGAGAUAACCCAAGUCCAACAACAGGAAAAAGUUACUAUUUUCUACUCUGAACUUGACACUUCUACCAUGUGCUCUGUUGUGUACCGGAGGCACACGGCACACGGCACACACCCCUUCCCCCAAUCCCAGCGUUGGAGCAACAAUUCACCGCCGAAUCGGACUCAAUUCCCCGCAUUCCGACGCAAAUCCUCCUGCCCUGCCAUGCUACCUAACGCGAGCAUCCUAGCGGCUGCCGGAAGCAGCCCAAUUCGCCGGAAAAUACAGCAAGUGGACCGCUUUUACUACGCAUCGCAAAAAGAAGAAGGGGCUUUCGUCCCCUUGAGCUCCCGAAGGGGAUCGAUCGACUCACCAGUACGCGGGCACGCGGCGCCGACUGGCCUCGCCUUGGCAGCAGCAGCAGCAGAUCUGAAGAGGCCGAACCGGAGAGCAAGCGGAUGAAGCAGCCCGGGGAAAGGAAGGGGAAGCGCGAGGGCAUAGAGAGAGUGCGAC